rnacentral:rRNA from 1 species
AUUGAACGCUGGCGGCAGGCUUAACACAUGCAAGUCGAGCGGAGCGAGGGUGCUUGCACCUUAGCUUAGCGGCGGACGGGUGAGUAAUGCUUAGGAAUCUGCCUAUUAGUGGGGGACAACAUUCCGAAAGGAAUGCUAAUACCGCAUACGCCCUACGGGGGAAAGCAGGGGAUCUUCGGACCUUGCGCUGAUAGAUGAGCCUAAGUCGGAUUAGCUAGUUGGUGGGGUAAAGGCCUACCAAGGCGACGAUCUGUAGCGGGUCUGAGAGGAUGAUCCGCCACCCUUGGACUGGGACACGGCCCAGACUCAUACGGGAGGAAGCAGUGGGGAAUAUUGGACAAUGGGCGGAAACCUGAUCCAGCCAUGCCGCGUCUGUGAAGAAGACCUUUUGGUUGUAAAGCACUUUAAGCGAGGAGGAGGUUACUUAGAUUAAUACUCUGGGAUAGUGGACGUUACUCGCAGAAUAAGCACCGGCUAACUCUGUGCCAGCCGCCGCCGUAACAC